CGCUGGCGGCAGGCCUAACACAUGCAAGUCGAGCGGAAACGAGUUAUCUGAACCUUCGGGGGACGAUAACGGCGUCGAGCGGCGGACGGGUGAGUAAUGCCUAGGAAAUUGCCCUGAUGUGGGGGAUAACCAUUGGAAACGAUGGCUAAUACCGCAUAAUACCUACGGGUCAAAGAGGGGGACCUUCGGGCCUCUCGCGUCAGGAUAUGCCUAGGUGGGAUUAGCUAGUUGGUGAGGUAAUGGCUCACCAAGGCGACGAUCCCUAGCUGGUCUGAGAGGAUGAUCAGCCACACUGGAACUGAGACACGGUCCAGACUCCUACGGGAGGCAGCAGUGGGGAAUAUUGCACAAUGGGCGCAAGCCUGAUGCAGCCAUGCCGCGUGUGUGAAGAAGGCCUUCGGGUUGUAAAGCACUUUCAGUCGUGAGGAAGGUAGUGUAGUUAAUAGCUGCAUUAUUUGACGUUAGCGACAGAAGAAGCACCGGCUAACUCCGUGCCAGCAGCCGCGGUAAUACGGAGGGUGCGAGCGUUAAUCGGAAUUACUGGGCGUAAAGCGCAUGCAGGUGGUUUGUUAAGUCAGAUGUGAAAGCCCGGGGCUCAACCUCGGAAUAGCAU
rnacentral:rRNA from 1 species